rnacentral:rRNA from 1 species
GACGAACGCUGGCGGCGUGCCUAAUACAUGCAAGUAGAACGCUGAAGGAGGAGCUUGCUUCUCCGGAUGAGUUGCGAACGGGUGAGUAACGCGUAGGUAACCUGCCUGGUAGCGGGGGAUAACUAUUGGAAACGAUAGCUAAUACCGCAUAAGAGUAGAUGUUGCAUGACAUUUGCUUAAAAGGUGCAAUUGCAUCACUACCAGAUGGACCUGCGUUGUAUUAGCUAGUUGGUGAGGUAACGGCUCACCAAGGCGACGAUACAUAGCCGACCUGAGAGGGUGAUCGGCCACACGGGGACUGAGACACGGCCCAGACUCCUACGGGAGGCAGCAGUAGGGAAUCUUCGGCAAUGGACGGAAGUCUGACCGAGCAACGCCGCGUGAGUGAAGAAGGUUGUCGGAUCGUAAAGCUCUGUUGUAAGAGAAGAACGAGUGUGAGAGUGGAAAGUUCACACUGUGACGGUAUCUUACCAGAAAGGGACGGCUAACUACGUG